rnacentral:rRNA from 1 species
GACGAACCGUGCGAACGUUAUUCGGAAUCACUGGGCUUAAAGCGCGUGUAGGCGGAUCGGCACGUCUGUCGCUGAAAUCCCCCGGCUCAACCGGGGAACGGGCGCGGAUACGGCCGGUCUGGAGGGGCGUAGGGGGGACCUGGAACUUCCGGUGGAGCGGUGAAAUGCGUUGAGAUCGGAAGGAACGCCCGUGGCGAAAGCGAGGUCCUGGACGCCUACUGACGCUGAGGUGCGAAAGCCAGGGGAGCAAACGGG